GGAAUGUCCUGGGCAAGAUAAAAGGAACUGACAAAUUCAAUAAAUAAUAAACUGAAUUUGUCAGUUCCUUUUAUCUUGCCCAGGACAUUCCAA